rnacentral:rRNA from 1 species
AACGAACGCUGGCGGCAUGCCUAACACAUGCAAGUCGAACGAGACCUUCGGGUCUAGUGGCGCACGGGUGCGUAACGCGUGGGAACCUGCCCUUAGGUUCGGAAUAACUCCCCGAAAGGGGUGCUAAUACCGGAUAAUGUCUUCGGACCAAAGAUUUAUCGCCUUUGGAUGGGCCCGCGUUGGAUUAGCUAGUUGGUAGGGUAAAAGCCUACCAAGGCGACGAUCCAUAGCUGGUCUGAGAGGAUGAUCAGCCACACUGGGACUGAGACACGGCCCAGACCCCUACGGGGGGCAGGAGGGGGGAAAAUUGGAAAAGGGGCGAAAGCCUGACCCAGCAAUGCCGGGUGGGUGAUGAAGGCCUUAGGGUUGUAAAGCUCUUUUACCCGGGAUGAUAAUGACAGUACCGGGAAAAUAAGCCCCGGCUAACCCCGU